CCCUACGGGAGGCAGCAGUGGGGAAUUUUGCGCAAUGGGGGCAACCCUGACGCAGCAACGCCGCGUGAGUGAUGAAGGCCUUCGGGUCGUAAAGCUCUGUCAGAGGGGAAGAAAUGCAGGUGGUGAACAACCAUUCUGUUUGACGGUACCCUCAAAGGAAGCACCGGCUAACUCCGUGCCAGCAGCCGCGGUAAUACGGAGGGUGCGAGCGUUGUUCGGAAUUAUUGGGCGUAAAGCGCGUGUAGGCGGUUUGUUAAGUCUGAGGUGAAAGCCCCGGGCUAAACCGGGGAAGUGCAUUGGAUACUGGCAGACUUGAGUACGGGAGAGGAGAGUGGAAUUCCAAGUGUAGGAGUGAAAUCCGUAGAUAUCGGGAGGAACACCGGAGGCGAAGGAGGUCUCCUGGCCCGUUACUGACGCUCAGGCACGAAAGCGUGGGGAGCAAACAGGAUUAGAUACCCCUGUAGU
rnacentral:rRNA from 1 species